CCUGGCGACUAUAGCGAUUUGGAACCACCUGAUACCAUCUCGAACUCAGAAGUGAAACAUUUCCGCGCCAAUGAUAGUGUGAGGCUUCCUCAUGCGAAAGUAGGUCAUCGCCAGGGUUUUA
rnacentral:rRNA from 1 species